UGGGGAAUAUUGCACAAUGGGCGCAAGCCUGAUGCAGCCAUGCCGCGUGUAUGAAGAAGGCCUUCGGGUUGUAAAGUACUUUCAGUCGGGAGGAAGGUGGUAAGGUUAAUAACCUUGGCAAUUGACGUUACCGACAGAAGAAGCACCGGCUAACUCCGUGCCAGCAGCCGCGGUAAUACGGAGGGUGCAAGCGUUAAUCGGAAUUACUGGGCGUAAAGCGCACGCAGGCGGUUGAUUGAGUCAGAUGUGAAAUCCCCGGGCUUAACCCGGGAAUUGCAUCUGAUACUGGUCAGCUAGAGUCUUGUAGAGGGGGGUAGAAUUCCAUGUGUAGCGGUGAAAUGCGUAGAGAUGUGGAGGAAUACCGGUGGCGAAGGCGGCCCCCUGACAAAGACUGACGCUCAGGUGCGAAAGCGUGGGGAGCAAACAGG
rnacentral:rRNA from 1 species